rnacentral:rRNA from 1 species
UACGAAGGGAGCUAGCGUUGUUCGGAAUCACUGGGCGUAAAGCGCACGUAGGCGGAUGUGUCAGUCAGGGGUGAAAUCCCGGAGCUCAACUUCGGAACUGCCUUUGAUACAGCACGUCUUGAGUCCGAUAGAGGUGGGUGGAAUUCCUAGUAUAGAGGUGAAAUUCGUAGAUAUUAGGAAGAACACCGGUGGCGAAGGCGGCCCACUGGAUCGGUACUGACGCUGAGGUGCGAAAGCGUGGGGAGCAAACAGG